rnacentral:rRNA from 1 species
AACGAACGCUGGCGGCAGGCUUAACACAUGCAAGUCGAACGCCCCGCAAGGGGAGUGGCAGACGGGUGAGUAACGCGUGGGAAUCUACCGUACCCUACGGAAUAGCUCCGGGAAACUGGAAUUAAUACCGUAUACGCCCUACGGGGAAAGAUUUAUCGGGGUAUGAUGAGCCCGCGUUGGAUUAGCUAGUUGGUGGGGUAAAGGCCUACCAAGGCGACGAUCCAUAGCUGGUUUGAGAGGAUGAUCAGCCACAUUGGGACUGAGACACGGCCCAAACUCCUACGGGAGGCAGCAGUGGGGAAUAUUGGACAAUGGGCGCAAGCCUGAUCCAGCCAUGCCGCGUGAGUGAUGAAGGUCUUAGGAUUGUAAAGCUCUUUCUACCGAUGAAGAUAAUGACGGUAGUCGGAGAAGAAGCCCCGGCUAACUUCGUG